GUGUCAGCAGCCGCGGUAAUACGGAGGGAGCUAGCGUUGUUCGGAAUUACUGGGCGUAAAGCGUACGUAGGCGGCUAUUCAAGUCAGAGGUGAAAGCCCGGGGCUCAACCCCGGAACUGCCUUUGAAACUAGGUAGCUAGAGUCUUGGAGAGGUUAGUGGAAUUCCGAGUGUAGAGGUGAAAUUCGUAGAUAUUCGGAAGAACACCAGUGGCGAAGGCGACUAACUGGACAAGUACUGACGCUGAGGUACGAAAGCGUGGGGAGCAAACAGGAUUAGAUACCCUAGUAGUCC
rnacentral:rRNA from 1 species